AGUGAACGCUGGCGGUAGGCCUAACACAUGCAAGUCGAACGGCAGCACAGGAGAGCUUGCUCUCUGGGUGGCGAGUGGCGGACGGGUGAGGAAUACAUCGGAAUCUACUCUGUCGUGGGGGAUAACGUAGGGAAACUUACGCUAAUACCGCAUACGACCUACGGGUGAAAGCAGGGGACCUUGGGCCCUUGCCCGAUUGAAUGAGCCGAGGUCGGAUUAGCUCGUUGGAGGGGUAAGGGCCCACCAAGGCGACGAUCCGUAGCUGGUCUGAGAGGAUGCUCAGCCACACUGGAACUGAGACACGGUCCAGACUCAUACGGGAGGCAGCAGUGGGGAAUAUUGGACACUGGGCGAAAGCCUGAUCCAGCCAUACCGCGUGGGUGAAGAAGGCCUUCGGGUUGUAAAGCCCUUUUGUUGGGAAAGAAAUCCAGCCGGCUAAUACCCGGUUGGGAUGACGGUACCCAAAGAAUAAGCACCGGCUAACUUCGUGCCAGCCGCCGCCGUAA
rnacentral:rRNA from 1 species